rnacentral:tRNA from 1 species
GGAGGGGUGUCCGAGUGGUUGAAGGAGCACGCCUGGAAAGUGUGUAUACGCUAACCGCGUAUCGAGGGUUCGAAUCCCUCCUCCUCCGCCA